rnacentral:rRNA from 1 species
GAUAAACGCUAGCGGCAGGCUUAACACAUGCAAGUCGAGGGGCAGCAUAGAUUGUAGCAAUACAAUUGGUGGCGACCGGCGCACGGGUGCGUAACGCGUAUGCAACCUACCCGUCACAGGGGGAUAAUCCGGAGAAAUCUGGUCUAAUACCCCAUAACAUAUGGAUCGGCAUCGGUUCAUGUUGAAAUUUUCGGAGGUGACGGAUGGGCAUGCGUAGCAUUAGCUUGUUGGUGAGGUAACGGCUCACCAAGGCGACGAUGCUUAGGGGGACUGAGAGGUUUUCCCGCCACAGUGGUACUGAGACACGGACCAGACUCCUACGGGAGGCAGCAGUGAGGAAUAUUGGUCAAUGGGCGCAAGCCUGAACCAGCCAUGCCGCGUGCAGGAUGACGGCUCUAUGAGUUGUAAACUGCUUUUGUACGAGGGUAAAGUGGGUUACGUGUAACCUUUUGAAAGUAUCGUACGAAUAAGGAUCGGCUAACUCCGUGCCAGCAGCCGCGGUAA